ACUGUCAACAGGUCAGCUCUCUGUCACAGAGCAGAUAUUUAACUGUCAACAGGUCAGCUCUCUGACAGAGCAGAUAUUUAACUGUCAACAGGUCAGCUCUCUGACAGAGCAGAUAUUUAACUGUCAACAGGUCAGCUCUCUGACAGAGCAGAUAUUUAACUGUCAACAGGUCAGCUCUCUGACAGAGCAGAUAUUUAACUGUCAACAGAGCAGAUAUUUAACUGUCAACAGGUCAGCUCUCUGACAGAGCAGAUAUUUAACUGUCAACAGGUGAGCUCUCUGACAGAGCAGAUAUUUAACUGUCAACAGGUCAGCUCUCUGACAGAGGAGAUAUUUAACUGUCAACAGGUGAGCUCUCUGACAGAGCAGAUAUUUAACUGUCAACAGGUCAGCUCUCUGACACAGCAGAUAUUUAACUGUCAACAGGUCAGCUCUCUGACUGAGGAGAUAUUUAACUGUCAACAGGUGAGCUCUCUGACAGAGCAGAUAUUUAACUGUCAACAGGUCAGCUCUCUGACAGAGCAGAUAUUUAACUGUCAACAGGUCAGCUCUCUGACAGAGCAGAUAUUUAACUGUCAACAGGUCAGCUCUCUGACUGAGCAGAUAUUUAACUGUCAACAGGUCAGCUCUCUGACAGAGCAGAUAUUUAACUGUCAACAGGUCAGCUCUCUGACAGAGCAGAUAUUUAACUGUCAACAGGUCAGCUCUCUGACAGAGCAGAUAUUUAACUGUCAACAGGUCAGCUCUCUGACUGAGCAGAUAUUUAACUGUCAACAGGUCAGCUCUCUGACAGAGCAGAUAUUUAACUGUCAACAGGUCAGCUCUCUGACAGAGCAGAUAUUUAACUGUCAACAGGUCAGCUCUCUGACUGAGCAGAUAUUUAACUGUCAACAGGUCAGCUCUCUGACAGAGCAGAUAUUUAACUGUCAACAGGUCAGCUCUCUGACAGAGCAGAUAUUUAACUGUCAACAGGUCAGCUCUCUGACUGAGGAGAUAUUUAACUGUCAACAGGUCAGCUCUCUGACUGAGGAGAUAUUUAACUGUCAACAGGUCAGCUCUCUGACAGAGCAGAUAUUUAACUGUCAACAG